rnacentral:tRNA from 1 species
GCCUAGGUAGCUUAGUUGGUAGUGCGUCUGCCUUGUAAGCGCUAGGCCGCGGGUUCGAUUCCCGCCCGGGCCG